GCUUCCAUCUGGCCACUCCACCAUCAAGGCCUGAUUGGUGGAGUGCUGCAAAGAUGGUUGUCCUUCUGGAAGGUUCUCCCAUCUCCACAGAGGAACUCUGGAGCUCUGUCAGAGUGACCCGGGCUACGGUGGAGGUUCCAAACUUCUUCCAUUUAAGAAUGAUGGAGGCCACUGUGUUCUUGGGUACCUACAAUGCUGCAGAAAUGUUUUGGUACCAUCCCCAGAUCUGUGCCUCCACACAAUCCUGUCUCGGACCUCUACAGACAAUUCCUUUGACAUCUUGGCUUGGUUUUUGCUCUGACAUGCACUGUCUUCCCAAAUCAUGUCCAAUAAUUUUAAUUUACCACAGGUGGACUCCAAUCAAGUUGUAGAAACAUCUCAAAGAUGAUCAAUGGAAACAGGAUGCACCUGAGCUCAAUUUCAAGUCUCAUAGCAAAGGGUCUGAAUACUUUUGUAAAUAAGACCUAUGAGCCAGCUCCAAUACAGAGAGGGUCCCGACUUGAUCAGGAACGCCAAAACCGAAGUAAACCACAAUAGAAGAAUGCUCCUUAUAGCUUGAUCAACGGUUAUACUUGGAUGGACAUAAUGGAAUUUAGAUCAUGAAAAAAGAGGACAUAAAGAAAUUGUCAACUCCUAUUUAUUUUGGCCCACAUCAAACUUUGAGCCACACUGCUUCUGGUCCGGUUCCCAGUCUCCAAGUCGUGCGCAGGGAUGAAGUCGGUUUCCAUUAAUCAAAUUGCUUCAUCCUUUUUUGUUUUCUUUCUUUCUGUAUUUUUAGCCUGGCAGGUCUUUAUUUGCUAUACUCCCACACUCACAUCCUUAACUAUGAGUAACAAAUAUCUGCACUUCUUUAAAAAAAUCUAACAUGCUGCUGAUAUUCAGUGACUGUUCAACUUGUGGUGGUGUGAGUGUUGGAGAAACGUUAAGUGCUUGUAUUGGUUGUUCUGAUUUAGGAAGAGUGAAUGCGACAAUUAACUGAAUCUUGACAAAUGUUUGAUAACUGUACUUGGCCAGUUUUAUUUUGCAUAAUCAAAAUAAACUGUUCUAUUAUGCCCUUCUUGUCCAUGUGAGAGUGGUCUUGUGGCUUGGUAGAAGAUGUGAAAAGCUUCUGCAAAUGAUGCAUAUAAUGGAUAAUGUGAAAGGCUGUGACAUUACAAAAUGUUCAUGUUUAAGAAAAGAAAUAUUUUUGAAAUAAUGUAUCACUUGGCUUAACACUUGUGACAACAAAUUGUUGAAGAAGAGAUACAAGAUGUUUUAUUUUCGUUUCUUUUUUUCAGAGUGGAGCCUUAACACUUUAUUUCUGACAACAGUGUCAAUGAAACUCUAUUUGCUGUACUGUAACUCAAGUGUGUCAGCAAAAAGAUUCAGGGGAAAGAUGUCUAGAACAUCCGCUCUCAAAGGAGGUCCCUUUCUUUUUUCUUGAUGGGGAGGAAAUGUAAACUGUCUUGAGUUCAAAUUCUUAGCCGGACAAUACUAUGAUGUUGUCUUUUUCCUUGUUAUUUUAAAUCACAGCUGUUACUUUUCUCUGUUCCCCAUCAUUCCAACAACAGGGGUCUCUAAGUCAUUUUGGUGAAAAAUGUAGCAUGUACUGCUUUUAAAAUCAAGAUAGCCCUGUCACUCUGUUUCUUAUCCUUGUCCUUUCUUAACAGAAUUAAAGCAUUGAUAUAACCCUUCCACUUCAUCCUCAGAAAUGUUAAGCUUUAAUGUACUGGCAAUGCUAACUGAGAACGCCUCAAAUGUGUAAUCUUAAAAUUAAUUUGACUGAUUUAAUGUCAAGUGUAUGAAAACCCAGAGAAUAGUAUAUAUGGUAUCUGUGUGUUAUUUCUUUUUCCCGGGACCUGCUUGCUGUACUGUGUAUGUCUGUAUGUGAAAGACAGAGGGGAGUGGGAUUAUUGAGGGAAUCAGAUUUAUGUAUUGGAAAUUAUUCAUUCAUGAGAAUAUAUAAAAUUUAAGAAAACAAAUGUUUAAGUCACCCCUGAAUUUAAUAUGCGUUGUAUCAAAGGUCACUAUCACAUUCUUAGAUUUGAUCAUGGUCAUUAUUAAAGGUAUACUAUCUAUUGUAA
rnacentral:lncRNA from 1 species